GAUACUACCAACCACAUUUGAUCAGUUUGUUUGCGGCUGACGAUUGUGAUGUAUGUGAGUGUUCUUGGCUCUCUCAGCUGCUGUGGCACUGACAGUAACCAAGCUGCAACCAAGGGACAAUGAAGCAAAGAUACCAGGAGCGAGGAAGUGAGGGAGGAAGAAAGGGAAAGGAAAUGUGCUUUCUUAAGCAUCACAGUUUGUGGACUGAGAUGAAUACCUACCACGAUUGCUUGACCUGGAGUGGAGAGAAAAGACAACAGUGGCGUCAGAACUAGCUGGAUCAACAUAAGUGCAAGAACUCCCGUGAGAGAAGAAAACGUCUUCCCAGGAAGCUGAAUAUUUAUGCUAUUGGGUCUCAAAUUCAGUGUGAGUGUGAGUCAACUGAGGGGCAUGCUGAAAGAGUGAAAGCUCCAUCCCGAGAUUCUGACUUCGGUCAGUCUUUGGUGGAGGUCCCAGGACUACAUUUUUCAAACACUUCUCUCAGCAGCCCCAGCUGCGCCAUCA